UGACAGACUGGAUCUGUGGCAGUGACCCCUGCCAUUCAUCCCAGUGUUUGUAGUCACCCCUCUCUAGCACAAACUGGUGGCCCCGGUAGCCUGGGUACAUGUAGGCCACCCAGCUAGGGGAGGGAUGGAAAGAGGCAAAUUGGUAGCAAGGCCCAAAAGUGGAUCUUGGAGAAAAUGUCCCCAUAAUGCACCAGGAGCAAAGCUGUGCUUACAUUCCGUUAAGUGCCUUGAUGCUGGCCACGUAGACAUGGAAACCAUAUACCCAGACGCUGGGCACGUCUUCGCCAAUGAUCUCCAUCUUCCGGCCACUGAAACCAGCAACCUCGAACAGAAGCAGCUUAUGGUCUGGCCCAUCCUACAAUAGGCCACACACACUCACUUUUGUAAUCAUAUCUUUGUGGGGACUCUCCAUUCAUUCCUAUGGAGAAAACUAAUCCCAACAUGACGACCCUAACCCAGCUUUAACCUUAACCAUAAGCUCACAGCUUCCCACUUGACGACCCACUGGAAGGUCACAGUACUCACAGCUUUGAUCUAUUGGAAGGCCACUGUACUCACAGCUUUGAUCCAUUGGAAGGUCACAGUACUCACAGCUUUGAUCUAUUGGAAGGUCACUGUACUCACAGCUUUGAUCCACUGGAAGGUCACUGUACUCACAGCUUUGAUCCACUGGAAGGUCACUGUACUCACAGCUUUGAUCCACUGGAAGGUCACUGUACUCACAGCCAUGACCCAUUGGAAGGUCACUGUACUCACAUCUUUGACCCAGUCGAAGGUCACAGUACUCACAGGUUUGACCCAGUCGAAGGUCACAGUACUCACAGGUUUGACCCAGUCGAAGGUCACAGUACUCACAGGUUUGACCCAGUCGAAGGUCACAGUACUCACAGGUUUGACCCAGUCGAAGGUCACAGUACUCACAGGUUUGACCCAAUCGAAGGUCACAGUACUCACAGGUUUGACCCAAUCGAAGGUCACAGUACUCACAGGUUUGACCCAGUCGAAGGUCACAGUACUCACAGCUUUGAACCAUGUUAUGGUCACAGCACUCACAUCUUUGACCCAGUCGAAGGUCACAGCACUCACAGGUUUGACCCAUUCGGAGGUCACAGUACUCACAGAUUUGACCCAGUCGAAGGUCACAGUACUCACAGAUUUGACCCAUUCGGAGGUCACAGUACUCACCACUUUGACCCAUUCGGAGGUCACAGUACUCACCACUUUGACCCAUUCGGAGGUCACAGUACUCACCACUUUGACCCAUUCGGAGGUCACAGUACUCACCACUUUGACUGGUCUCAAGGACAUUAACAAGCAGCUUCUCUGGCUGUUGGUCCAGCUGGUCCAGUGAGGGUUCUCUCCUUUCUCAAGGAUGAACUGCUCCCCACUGAAUCCCUGGCACUCAAAUGCUACCCAGCUGAGAGGCGGUUAAAGGUUAGGGUUCUCGUUAGUGCUUCACCCAGCUGUUAGAAAAUGCUGCAUGAUCUAUUGAUCCAGCUAUAGAUACUGAUCUUGGUUUCCUUCUGUCAUUUGUUUAAUAAAUUGCACAGUUUAUGCAUCAUCUACUCCAUUAUUGUGUAGGCACUCGUCUGUGUGUCAUUUCAUUAGUUCAUGCUGAACAAGUCAUUAACAAACUGAUGUACUAACUGGUUUAAUCUGUUAUUCAUAAUGCAUUAAUUGGCUACAAGAAUCAGGACAGAAUUACAACAAUGUUCAUUUAAUGUUUCGACCAACUGAUUCCUGGGAGUGAAGAGCAGAUCUGAGGAUAGACUGAGGGGGGAGAAGAAGGAAAAUAGGAAGAGCUUUGAAGUUUGGUCUGUUACUAACGGGCCGGAUUCCACCACGAUGUAAGUCACUUUCUCAAGGGUCUUCUGUGUCACAUCCCUGCACCCGGCCGAUAGCUCUACCUUACGCUCUACCUUCUCAAGCUCAAAGAGGACGACCUGGGCAUAAGAGCGAGGGAGGAAGGAAGGGAGGGAACAACUGAACACACCACCUAACGGAAGAGGUAGCAGCCAGGCACCGUGCGUUGUCGUUUUCCCGUCAACCUGCAUUUUGGUAGACGGUCGUUUUUUUUUUUAAUUACACGCUGGCAGUAUCUCAGACAGUGCCUGAAGCAAAGAGAGGAUCUGCCAUAUUCAGGUAGGUGGACGGAGGUCAGAGGUCAGGCAGUCCUUCACAGUCAUCUCCCACAAGCCAAAGCGUUUAGGGUGGACAGGGAUACUAUGUAGCCUGCAGGGACAAAGACAGGAUUUGCCCCAGUGCUACCUGACAAAAGGUAAACACCUGACAAACAAUUCGAUGGAAAGUUCUAGAAUGUAAGCCGCAGCAGGGUUACGUUAUAAGUAACGCUCACGCUGCGUUGGCUCUUUCCAGCGGCACACUGGUCCGGGACACUCUGCUGCUCCGGGACACUCUGCUGCUCCGGGACACCCUGCUGCUCCGGGACACCCUGCUGCUCCGGGACACUCUGCUGCUCCGGGACACCCUGCUGCUCCGACAUGCUCCCUACACAGGAUAAGGGUGGAGGACGGGUCACUUUCUGAGCUCCAAAAUAAAGACGGAUUCCUUUGG